rnacentral:rRNA from 1 species
GUCCACGCCCUAAAACGAUGAACACUAGGUGUGGGGGAGUUAUCUUCCGUGCCGCAGCUAACGCAAUAAGUGUUCCACCUGGGGAGUACGGCCGCAAGGUUGAAACUCAAAGGAAUUGACGGGAGCCCGCACAAGCAGUGGAGUAUGUGGUUUUAAUUCGACGCAACGCGAAGAACCUUACCAGGGAUUGACAUCCCGGGGAUCUGGCGUAAAUGCCGGAGUGCCCUUCGGGGAACCCGAGACAGGUGGUGCAUGGUUGUCGU